rnacentral:rRNA from 1 species
GAUGAACGCUGGCGGCGUGCCUAAUACAUGCAAGUCGAGCGAACAGACGAGGAGCUUGCUCCUCUGACGUUAGCGGCGGACGGGUGAGUAACACGUGGAUAACCUACCUAUAAGACUGGGAUAACUUCGGGAAACCGGAGCUAACACCGGAUAAUAUAUUGAACCGCAUGGUUCAAUAGUGAAAGACGGUUUUGCUGUCACUUAUAGAUGGAUCCGCGCCGCAUUAGCUAGUUGGUAAGGUAACGGCUUACCAAGGCAACGAUGCGUAGCCGACCUGAGAGGGUGAUAGGCCACACUAGAACUGAGACACGGUCCAGACUCCUACGGGAGGCAGCAGUAGGGAAUCUUCCGCAAUGGGCGGAAGCCUGACGGAACAACGCCACGUGAGUGAUAAAAGUCUUCGGAUCGUGAUACUCUGUUAUUAGGGAAGAACAAAUGUGUAAGUAACUAUGCACGUCUUGACGGUACCGAAUCAAAAAGCCACGGCUAACUACGUG